rnacentral:rRNA from 1 species
AACGAACGCUGGCGGCAGGCUUAACACAUGCAAGUCGAGCGCCCCGCAAGGGGCGCGGCAGACGGGUGAGUACCGCGUGGGAACGUACCUUUUGGUUCGGAACAACUCCGGGAAACUGGAGCUAAUACCGGAUAAGCCCUAACGGGGAAAGAUUUAUCGCCGAACGAUCGGCCCGCGUCUGAUUAGCUAGUUGGUGAGGUAACGGCUCACCAAGGCGACGAUCAGUAGCUGGUCUGAGAGGAUGAUCAGCCACACUGGGACUGAGACACGGCCCAGACUCCUACGGGAAGCAGCAGUGGGGAAUAUUGGACAAUGGGCGCAAGCCUGAUCCAGCCAUGCCGCGUGAGUGAUGAAGGCCUUAGGGUUGUAAAGCUCUUUUGUCCGGGAAGAUAAUGACUGUACCGGAAGAAUAAGCCCCGGCUAACUUCGUG